AGAGUGAACGCUGGCGGUAGGCCUAACACAUGCAAGUCGAACGGCAGCACAGUAGGAGCUUGCUCUUACGGGUGGCGAGUGGCGGACGGGUGAGGAAUACAUCGGAAUCUACCUUUUGGUGGGGGAUAACGUAGGGAAACUUACGCUAAUACCGCAUACGCCCGUUCGGGGGAAAGCCGGGGACCAGCAAUGGCCUGGCGCUGAUAGAUGAGCCGAUGUCGGAUUAGCUAGUUGGUGAGGUAAUGGCUCACCAAGGCGACGAUCCGUAGCUGGUCUGAGAGGAUGAUCAGCCACACUGGAACUGAGACACGGUCCAGACUCCCGUAACGGGA
rnacentral:rRNA from 1 species